rnacentral:rRNA from 1 species
AGAGUUUGAUCAUGGCUCAGAUUGAACGCUGGCGGCAUGCCUAACACAUGCAAGUCGAACGGCAGCAUGAUGAGAUGCUUGCAUCUCAUUGAUGGCGAGUGGCGGACGGGUGAGUAACGCGUAGGAAUCUACCUUUAAGUUGGGGACAACCCGAGGAAACUCGGGCUAAUACCGAAUAGACACUCUAAGGAGGAAAGCUGGGGACCGCAAGGCCUGGCGCUUGAAGAGGAGCCUGCGUACGAUUAGCUAGUUGGUGAGGUAAAGGCUCACCAAGGCGACGAUCGUUAGCUGGUCUGAGAGGAUGACCAGCCACACUGGGACUGAGAGACGGCCCAGACUCCUACGGGAGGCAGCAGUGGGGAAUAUUGGACAAUGGGGGAAACCCUGAUCCAGCGAUGCCGCGUGUGUGAAGAAGGCCUGAGGGUUGUAAAGCACUUUAGUUGGGGAAGAGAUUGUAGAGUUUAAGAGAUACUGCAAGAGACAUGAACCAAAGAAUAAGCACCGGCUAACUCCGUGCCAGCAGCCGCGGUAAUACGGAGGGUGCAAGCGUUAAUCGGAAUAAUUGGGCGUAAAGAGUGCGUAGGUGGUUUGCUAGGUGCGUUGUGAAAGACUCGGGCUUAACCUGGGGGUGUCAACGCAAACGGGCGAACUAGAGUACAGUAGAGGGUUGUGGAAUUUCCGGUGUAGCGGUGAAAUGCGUAGAGAUCGGAAGGAACACCAGUGGCGAAGGCGACAACCUGGGCUGAAACUGACACUGAGGCACGAAAGCGUGGGGAGCAAACAGGAUUAGAUACCCCGGUAGUCC